UCUACCCAAGAACAAAAUUUACUCUCUCUGCUGCCUUCACUCACCUUUGGAAGCAAUUAUGCCAUUUGGCAGUCAUCAAUCUGACCAGAGUCAGAAGACAUGCUUCUGUCCUGACAACUCCCAAAAGGAAAACUCGACUGAUAUAUCAGAUUGUGUUGUACCUACAUUUGGCAGGGAGUCUCCUUUCCUAAGAUUUUAAUGGGAACACACCUUUGGGUUCUCCUUCUCUGAGAAGCUUGGAUGGGAUGUAUAUAUCCCUAUUUAGAGCAAAGAUUUGCUGGAGAAAUAAAAGCUAGGCAGAGAAGGGGGAAGAGAGCAGAGUGCUACAUGGAGACAAGAGAACACUGAAACAGAAAGAGAAGCAGAGGACAAGGAGGCCUGAGAUCAUGAGAGAAAGGAGAGAGAAGCAAUAAAUGAAGGUCAAAAAUCAGUUGGAAGAUGGAUUUCAACUCUCAGUACAGCCUGAAGGAUGCUGUGAGGCAAUGACAGCUCAUCUGACUGAGUGAGGUGGAAAGAAGGGAAAAAUUAUCUGUUUGGAUGUGGGAAGAAGGGAAGGAAAAUGGACAAGUGGAAAGAUUUUACUUGUUGGAAGGGGAAAACAUUCAGAGCUGGCUGAGCAAGGUGAUGGAACAGGGAACUGGGACCUGAAAAGGCUGAGGGACUGGGAAACAUCUGGCAGGAGAAAAAGAGCAAGGAUGCAGUAGUGGAGGGGCUGCACAGCAAAAGUGACAAACUUGAAAGAAUCAUGGAACUGAAAAGAGCACCAUUCAGACAUCAGAGACAUCCAGUGUUAGAGAUAUUAGAGGGAAGAACAGAACUGGUUGGCAAGGCAGCCACAGAUAUGUAUUUAAUUAACAUAGACUGCAGUCCUAUCCUUGCCACAGAAUGAAUAUUUGGUUAUUAUGGACCCUGCUGUUGUUUGUGCAGAGGUCUCACUUCUCUUUUCUUUUAUUCUAGUUAAAUAAAUUGAGAAUUACGUGUAAUUACUGAGAGAAAAUAACUACUAUAAAAAUAGAAAGAAAUUAAAUAAAGACAAUCUGUUUUGCCUAGACAAUGUUUUGCAUUUCAGAGCUGGUUGCUCUGGAAACUUUAAAAGAUACCUUCUCACCCUGAAAUGAGAAAUGAGCUGAUUUAUGAAACCAUGCCAUCAAGUAAUUCAAGCAGACAGUGAGCGACCUCAGCAAACUGGACAAAAAGUGAACAGAUUACUGGAAUUGUCUCAAUAUUAGGGCCAUACCUGUCCUCCAGGGGCAGUUCUACAGUACUUGUUUUAUAUCAUACUUAACAUUUUCCUCCUAUGCAAGUUUUUUCUAGUCAGAAAAAAAAGAUUCUCUCAACAGCUUCUUGAUGUGGUCUUAUUUCAAAAUCUUUCACAAUCACGUUGAGAAUUUCCUGCACAAUACUAACUAUAGUUAAUUCCAUGUUUGAGAAUACAACAGAGCAUUAGUUUUACACUGAUACUUAUGAGUGUUUAUACAUAUUUCUAAGGAGCAUCAACCAAAGCUGUGUUUCUGGUGCACACCUUCAAUUCUUGUGGAACUGGAAAACAGAAUGAUUCCUCAUUUAGCUCUAGUGCAUCUAUGAGAGUUACAUCAAAGAAGAUAGAUUUUGUGUAUUUUGUUUUCAGUCAUGGACACUAAAA